rnacentral:rRNA from 1 species
GACGAACGCUGGCGGCGUGCUUAACACAUGCAAGUCGAACGGUAAGGCCCUUCGGGGUACACGAGUGGCGAACGGGUGAGUAACACGUGGGUGAUCUGCCCUGCACUUCGGGAUAAGCCCGGGAAACUGGGUCUAAUACCGGAGAGGACCACUGCCUGCAUGGGUGGUGGUGGAAAGCUUUUGCGGUGUGGGAUGGGCCCGCGGCCUAUCAGCUUGUUGGUGGGGUGAUGGCCUACCAAGGCGACGACGGGUAGCCGGCCUGAGAGGGUGACCGGCCACACUGGGACUGAGAUACGGCCCAGACUCCUACGGGAGGCAGCAGUGGGGAAUAUUGCACAAUGGGCGCAAGCCUGAUGCAGCGACGCCGCGUGAGGGAUGACGGCCUUCGGGUUGUAAACCUCUUUCAGCACCGACGAAGCGCAAGUGACGGUAGGUGCAGAAGAAGGACCGGCCAACUACGUGCCAGCAGCCGCAGUAA